AACGAACGCUGGCGGCAGGCUUAACACAUGCAAGUCGAACGCCCCGGAAGGGGAGUGGCAGCCGGGUGAGUAACGCGUGGGAAUCGACCCACCCCUACGGAUUAACCCAGGGAAACUUGUGCUCAUACCGUAACCGCCCCUAGUGGGACAGAUUCAUCGGAGUUGGAUGAGCCCGCGUUGGAUUAUCUAGUUGGUGGGGUAAAGCCCUACCAAGGCGACGAUCCAUAGCGGGUGUGAGAGGACGAUCAGCCACAUUGGGACUGAGCCACGGCCCAAACUCCUACGGGAGGCAGCAGUGGGGAAUAUUGGACAAUGGGCGCAGGCCUGAUCCAGCCAUGCCGCGUGAGUGAUGAAGGCCCUAGGGUUGUAAAGCUCUUUCACCGGUGAAGAUAAUGACGGUAACCGGAGAAGAAGCCCCGGCUAACUUCGUGCCAGCCGCCGCCGUAAUAC
rnacentral:rRNA from 1 species